rnacentral:rRNA from 1 species
ACUCCUACGGGAGGCAGCAGUGGGGAAUAUUGCACAAUGGGCGCAAGCCUGAUGCAGCAACGCCGUGUGAGUGAAGAAGGUUUUCGGAUCGUAAAACUCUGUCCUAAGGGAAGAAACAAAUGACGGUACCUUAGGAGGAAGCCCCGGCUAACUACGUGCCAGCAGCCGCGGUAAUACGUAGGGGGCAAGCGUUAUCCGGAAUCACUGGGCGUAAAGGGUGCGUAGGCGGCUUAGCAAGCCAGGGGUGAAAGGCAUUGGCUCAACCAAUGUAAGCCUUUGGAACUGUUAAGCUUGAGUGCAGGAGAGGUAAGUGGAAUUCCUAGUGUAGAGGUGAAAUUCGUAGAUAUUAGGAGGAACACCAGUGGCGAAGGCGACUUACUGGACUGUAACUGACGCUGAUGCACGAAAGACGUGGGUAGC